AGCGAACGCUGGCGGCAGGCCUAACACAUGCAAGUCGAACGAACUCUUCGGAGUUAGUGGCGGACGGGUGAGUAACACGUGGGAACGUGCCUUUUGGUUCGGAAUACCUCAGGGAAACUUGUGCUAAUACCGAAUGUGCCCUUCGGGGGAAAGAUUUAUCGCCAUUAGAGCGGCCCGCGUCUGAUUAGCUAGUUGGUGAGGUAACGGCUCACCAAGGCGACGAUCAGUAGCUGGUCUGAGAGGAUGACCAGCCACACUGGGACUGAGACACGGCCCAGACUCCUACGGGAGGCAGCAGCGGGGAAUCUUGCGCAAUGGGCGAAAGCCUGACGCAGCCAUGCCGCGUGAAUGAUGAAGGUCUUAGGAUUGUAAAAUUCUUUCACCGGGGACGAUAAUGACGGUACCCGGAGAAGAAGCCCCGGCUAACUUCGUG
rnacentral:rRNA from 1 species